GGAAUAUUGGUCAAUGGAGGCAACUCUGAACCAGCCAUGCCGCGUGCAGGAAGACGGCCCUCUGGGUUGUAAACUGCUUUUAUUCGGGAAUAAACCUACUUACGUGUAAGUAGCUGAAUGUACCGAAGGAAUAAGGAUCGGCUAACUCCGUGCCAGCAGCCGCGGUAAUACGGAGGAUCCAAGCGUUAUCCGGAUUUAUUGGGUUUAAAGGGUGCGUAGGCGGCCUAUUAAGUCAGGGGUGAAAGACGGUAGCUCAACUAUCGCAGUGCCUUUGAUACUGAUGGGCUUGAAUGGACUAGAGGUAGGCGGAAUGUGACAAGUAGCGGUGAAAUGCAUAGAUAUGUCACAGAACACCGAUUGCGAAGGCAGCUUACUAUGGUCUUAUUGACGCUGAGGCACGAAAGCGUGGGGAUCAAACAGGAUUAGAUACCCUUG
rnacentral:rRNA from 1 species